ACCCUGCACUUACAAGCUGUGGAAGCACAUUUCUUGUGUGACCGCGUACUUUUUGUAGAACGGGCCAACGAGUUACGUUAAGUAGCAAGGUUAAGCACUUAAGGUGUGGAGCCGUAGCGAAAGCGAGGUUUAACUGAGCGUUCAGUUACUUGACGUAGACCCGAAACCGGGCGACCUACCCAUGAGCAGGAUGAAGCGAAAGUAAAAUUUCGCGGAGGUCCGAACCCACGAGCG
rnacentral:rRNA from 1 species